rnacentral:lncRNA from 1 species
GGACUUCUGGUUUGAAUUAAUUCAAGACAUAACAUGUGAGCAAUGGCUGUGAGGUACCAAGUUUCUAACUUAAUAACAAUGGAGAUGAACAUGAAGAGCCACAAAGUAUAACACUAAUUUCAAUCUCAACAAUGCAUAACGUUUUGAUCUUAAAGAAAGAACUAGCUUAAAGAUAAGGCACAGAUGCUUGCAGAUCUGAAUAUUUGACAAAGAGAUAGGAAUUCAAGACAUUUCUCAAGAUGUUCAGUUAUAAAAUAGUUCCAGCUACAAUAACGAUCUGAUUACAAAUCCAUGUGUAACGCCACUGUUUUAUGCUACAUUUGUUAUUCAGGUCCAGUAGCCAGUGGUUCUUUGCGUAAUUGUUCAAAAGGACAUUUUGAGGUGCUUGUCCAGAUGUGAUUAUUUCUCUUCAGUAACAGGUCAAUCAUAUAUUUCUUUCAUCUAACUUUGUGCUUUGUUAUCUACAAACUAAUAGGUCGUUCUGUCUACAUACUA